GCAGCCCUAGGAAACUAAUACAAAUGGAAAUGAAGAGUCAGUUUAGCUCAACUCAAUAUGCCGUAGAGAGCGCCCAUAACAUCUCCACUGCCUCCAGCACCUCCUCCUUCUCCACCAGCGCCUCCUCCACAAUUGCUCCAGCACCACCACCACCACCUCAUGCUUCAGGCAGCCUUUGUGUUGCUGGGUUGACCGAGAGCUACUCAUCAAACGUCUCCUGGAAACAAGACUUGAGGAAAAAAGACAGAUGACUCAGUCUAUGUAUGUAGCAAGGUGCGGGACAUAAAAACUUAUAUGGACAUCCUUAAUAUAAGGCAAAACAGGAAAACAGAGAUUCUAAAGAUGCAAAAAUAAACUGUUACAUUAGUCCAGAUCUGGAUGACUACUUUUAGCCAUGGAUGUCUUCAGCCAUGAUGAUAAUGAAUUUGGGGUAGAUCUUCUUCUAUUAGACCAACUCUCCACCCUUUCUACUCUCCUUUCUGGACCCAAAGGCUGACCUGCAUGGAUUCCAUCAGUAUGCUUCCUGGCCUCUGGCUUCUGGCUGGGUUCAGCCAACGAGAAGACAUGGCUGACAGCAGGAAGGGAAGAGAAUGAAGUUCCAGGUAUUUGUUUCCCCACUUUGUCCUGUAGGACCAUCAUAAGCUGCAUCCCUCUGCUGAA